rnacentral:rRNA from 1 species
GAUGAACGCUAGCUACAGGCUUAACACAUGCAAGUCGCGGGGCAGCAUGGGGGUUGCUUGCAAUCCCCGAUGGCGACCGGCGCACGGGUGAGUAACGCGUAUCCAACCUGCCCUUCACCACGGGAUAACCCGGCGAAAGUCGGACUAAUACCGUAUGUUGUCCAUUGACGGCAUCCGAUUUGGACGAAAGGUUUGGCGGUGAAGGAUGGGGAUGCGUCCGAUUAGCUGGACGGCGGGGUGACGGCCCACCGUGGCGACGAUCGGUAGGGGUUCUGAGAGGAAGGUCCCCCACACUGGAACUGAGACACGGUCCAGACUCCUACGGGAGGCAGCAGUGAGGAAUAUUGGUCAAUGGGCGUAAGCCUGAACCAGCCAAGUAGCGUGCAGGAUGACGGCCCUAUGGGUUGUAAACUGCUUUUAUGCGGGGAUAAAGUGGCCCACGUGUGAGUUUUUGCAGGUACCGCAUGAAUAAGGACCGGCUAAUUCCGUG